GCCCUCGUAGCCCAACUGGCAGAGGCGCCGUCCCGAGAUGGCGGUCACGUGCGCGUUCGACUCGCGCCGAGGGCAC
rnacentral:tRNA from 1 species